GUGAAGAUGGCUCAGUGGUAGAGUGCUUGCCUUGAAUGCAUGAGGUCCUGGGUUCGAUUCCCCAGCACCACA
rnacentral:tRNA from 1 species